rnacentral:rRNA from 1 species
UACGUAGGUGGCAAGCGUUGUCCGGAUUUACUGGGCGUAAAGGGCGUGCAGGCGGUUUGUUAAGUCUAGGGUGAAAGCUCCCGGCUCAACUGGGAGAGGUCCUUGGAUACUGGCAGACUUGAGGAGAGUAGAGGAGAGUGGAAUUCCCGGUGUAGCGGUGAUAUGCGUAGAUAUCGGGAGGAACACCAGUGGCGAAGGCGGCUCUCUGGGCUCUACCUGACGCUGAGACGCGAAAGCGUGGGGAGCGAACCGG